GAAUAUUGGACAAUGGGGGCAACCCUGAUCUAGCAAUACCGCGUGUGUGAAGAAGGCCUGAGGGUUGUAAAGCACUUUCAGUGGGGAGGAGGAUUGAUAGGUUAAGAGCUAAUUAAUUGGACGUUACCCACAGAAGAAGCACCGGCUAACUCCGUGCCAGCAGCCGCGGUAAUACGGGGGGUGCAAGCGUUAAACGGAAUUACUGGGCGUAAAGGGUGCGUAGGUGGUUUGGUAAGUUAUCUGUGAAAUCCCCGGGCUCAACCUGGGCAGGUCAGAUAAUACUGCUGGACUCGAGUAUGGGAGAGGGUAGUGGAAUUUCCGGUGUAGCGGUGAAAUGCGUAGAGAUCGGAAGGAACACCAGUGGCGAAGGCGGCUACCUGGCCCAAUACUGACACUGAGGCACGAAAGCGUGGGGAGCAAAC
rnacentral:rRNA from 1 species